rnacentral:lncRNA from 1 species
UUUUUUUAAAGGUAAUUACUCUCACAAUUUAUCAUCUGACAAAAGGAAGCAGCUGAUAAAAGAAGCCCUCCUUUGUUCUGGACUUCCUGGCCGGGUCUCACAAGUCCUGUUUGCUUUGACCGCCUCUGGAGUGUUUGCCCAGUGAGGUCAGGGAAGGGAAGGAGAACACCGCCCGCCUGUUGUCGGAGCCGCAGGAAGCCAGCUGCGAGCUCCGCUUGCCAGGGCUUCACAGGGCUUGGCAGCUCAAUUUCCUCUCAGCCUACCAGAUGAGACAGAAGAGUCCACCGGUCACUUAUCUAAGCAAAGCACAUUGGGAGCCAUUAGAACUUGCGCCACCCGGCAGACUGUCCUGAACCAGAGAGGAGAAAUCAAGGCCGCCUCACCAUAUGAGACUCAGGUGGAUUCUUUACCGCCUGAGCCACCAGCACUUCCUAUGUGCACAGCCAGCAGCAGAAUUCCAGUGUAUGUAAGUAGUGGGUGGUGGAUACACCUGGAUGCCUCCUAACAUCUUUAAAUUCCCUUCCUGUGUUUGGGGAAAUCCCCUGGCUCAUGAUUGCACAAUCCCAUCCCUCCCCUCCCGCCCCCACCAAGGCCUCCUUAAGAGAGAAGCUAUUUAGAAUGCCUCUUGCUUCUCAGGUGCAGGUAAGAGACAGCCUUCACCAAUGUGACACCCACUGGAGACUUUGAUUGGGAAGCUAAUGUCAUAAAGACAUGGAACCCAUUCUGCUGAGCAUAGCAGCCAAGUAGCCAGCUAGCUCCCAGUGACCAAGGUUCCAAGGCGCCUCCGAGCCCCGCACUCAGGUACGUGAA